GCUAAACUAGCCUUUAAUUAGGCCAUGAUAGCUAAUGCAAUCACUUUGUGUAUGCUUUUGUCUGUAAACUUCAUUAUAUUUUCUUCAAAAUUAGGUCAAGGUCAUAUGAACUCUGCUAGAAAUACAUGUUAACCCUGGAAUGUCUCCUUCUUUACUAAUCAUUGAUAUUAUGUUGAGAGUCCUAAAUAUAAAGCUUUCUUACAACUGUCACACAAACUUAACAUUAACCAAGAAAACCAAACAUUGACCAAUGAACCACGAAAAUGAGGUCAAGGUCAGAUGACACCUGCAAAUAAAGUUAUCCUAUUACUUAUUAUAAGAUAAGUAUUAUUAUUAUAAGGCACAGC
rnacentral:lncRNA from 1 species